rnacentral:rRNA from 1 species
ACGCUCGACACCUACGGGAGGCAGCAGUGGGGAAUAUUGCACAAUGGGGAAACCCUGAUGCAGCGACGCCGCGUGGGUGAAGAAGUAUUUCGGUAUGUAAAGCCCUAUCAGCAGGGAAGAAGAUGACAGUACCUGACUAAGAAGCCCCGGCUAACUACGUGCCAGCAGCCGGGUAAUCUGAGCGGGCUGGCAAGGC